UAAAAUGUAAAAUUAAUUUAUUAAAUUAUUAUAAGUUAUAAUCUUUAAAGUUAAAAAAUUUGGCGGUAUUUUAGUCUUUUCAGAGGAACCUGUCCUAUAAUUGAUAAUCCACGAUUAGAGUUACUUAAUUUAAUAAUUUGUAUAUCAUUGUAAUUGAAUAUUUUAGUAGAGUAAUUAAUAUUCAAAAUUUUUAAUUUAAAAUAUAAAUCAAAUCAAGGUGCAGUUUAUAGUUAAGAAGAGAUGGGUUACAUUAAGGUUACUUAUGGAUUUAAAAUUUAAAUAUUUUAUUUAAAAUGGAUUUGAAAGUAAUUUAAUUUAUUUUAAUUAAAUGAUUUAAGCUCUAAAAUAUGC
rnacentral:rRNA from 1 species